GGCCUCAAACAUGCAAGUCUAGGGGGCGUAGCAAUACGUCACCGGCGGACGGGUGCGUAACACGUGGGAAUAUACCUAGUGGUUCGGAACAACGUAGGGAAACCUGCGCUAAUACCGAAUGAGCCCGAAAGGGGAAAGAUUUAUCGCCAUUAGAUUAGCCCGCGUCCGAUUAGCUAGUUGGUAGGGUAACGGCCUACCAAGGCAACGAUCGGUAGCUGUUCUGAGAGGAAGAUCAGCCACACUGGGACUGAGACACGGCCCAGACUCCUACGGGAGGCAGCAGUUGGGAAUCUUGAUCGAUGGGGGAAACCCUGAUCCAGCCAUGCCGCGUGAGUGAUGAAGGCCUUAGGGUUGUAAAGCUC
rnacentral:rRNA from 1 species